rnacentral:rRNA from 1 species
GACGAACCGUGCGAACGUUGUUCGGAAUUACUGGGCGUAAAGCGUGCGUAGACGGUUAUGUAAGUCAGGUGUGAAAGCCCCGGGCUCAACCUGGGAAUGCCAUUUGAGACUGCAUAGCUAGGGUACGGAAGAGGGAAGCGGAAUUUCAGGUGUAGCGGUGAAAUGCGUAGAUAUCUGAAGGAACACCAGUGGCGAAAGCGGCUUCCUGGUCCAGUACCGACGUUCAGGCACGAAAGCGUGGGGAGCAAACAGG